rnacentral:lncRNA from 1 species
GAUAAUAUAUACAAUGAAUUCAAAAAUGAUAAGUUUUUUUUUCAUCACAAUCACAAUAUUGGGUGUUACUGCUGCAACUGCAAAACAUGUUUAUGAAAAUGAAAAGACUGCGGAUAUUUUUCUGUGUAACUAUUGGCAUUUGAAAUGUCAGGUACUACAUCUAUUUUGUGACUUGUGGUCCGCAUACUGUCCUCAUUCAACUCCAGCUUCUUCCGUCCCGACAAACCCGCUAGCUGCUCCCGCUUCUUCCGUCCCGACAAACCCGCCAAGAGCUCCCGCUUCUUCCGGUAAUGAUGUCCUCCCGCCAACCCCAGCUUAGCUUGAUGAUCG